UUCAAAAUAUGAGGACGAUGGUAUUUAUGAAGUUCCUGAUGUGUUCCCAGAACACAGUGUAGAUGCCAAAGAGCAGCAGUUUCUUGAAAGAAAUGUGUUGGAAGAAGUGCUGGAAGUGGAUGAUACUCAUUCAGAAGAAGAUGAAGACAGCUCAGAAGAUGAGGAUAACAGUGUCAAUAGAGAAAAACAGACUGAAACGAAGAAGACCAAGGCUGCGCA